AGAGUUUGAUCAUGGCUCAGAACGAACGCUGGCGGCAGGCUUAACACAUGCAAGUCGAAGGAGAAGCCAUUUCGGUGGUGGAGACUGGCGGACGGGUGCGUAACACGUGGGAAUUUGCCCUUUAGUCUGGGAUAACAGUUGGAAACGACUGCUAAUACCGGAUACGCCCUACGGGGGAAAGAUUUAUUGCUAAAGGAUAAGCCCGCGGCUGAUUAGGUAGUUGGUGAGGUAAGAGCUCACCAAGCUGAUGAUCAGUAGCUGGUCUGAGAGGAUGAUCAGCCACACUGGGACUGAGACACGGCCCAGACUCCUACGGGAGGCAGCAGUGGGGAAUAUUGGACAAUGGGGGCAACCCUGAUCCAGCCAUGCCGCGUGAGUGAAGAAGGCCUUAGGGUUGUAAAGCUCUUUCGCUCGUGAAGAUAAUGACUGUAGCGAGUAAAGAAGCCCCGGCUAACUUCGUGCCAGCAGCCGCGGUAAU
rnacentral:rRNA from 1 species